rnacentral:rRNA from 1 species
AGAAGAGUGGCGAACGGGUGAGUAACACGUGGGUAACCUGCCCAUCAGAAGGGGAUAACACUUGGAAACAGGUGCUAAUACCGUAUAACAAUCGAAACCGCAUGGUUUUGAUUUGAAAGGCGCUUUCGGGUGUCGCUGAUGGAUGGACCCGCGGUGCAUUAGCUAGUUGGUGAGGUAACGGCUCACCAAGGCCACGAUGCAUAGCCGACCUGAGAGGGUGAUCGGCCACAUUGGGACUGAGACACGGCCCAAACUCCUACGGGAGGCAGCAGUAGGGAAUCUUCGGCAAUGGACGAAAGUCUGACCGAGCAACGCCGCGUGAGUGAAGAAGGUUUUCGGAUCGUAAAACUCUGUUGUUAGAGAAGAACAAGGAUGAGAGUAACUGUUCAUCCCUUGACGGUAUCUAACCAGAAAGCCACGGCUAACUACGUGCCAGCAGCCGCGGUAAUACGUAGGUGGCAAGCGUUGUCCGGAUUUAUUGGGCGUAAAGCGAGCGCAGGCGGUUUCUUAAGUCUGAUGUGAAAGCCCCCGGCUCAACCGGGGAGGGUCAUUGGAAACUGGGAGACUUGAGUGCAGAAGAGGAGAGUGGAAUUCCAUGUGUAGCGGUGAAAUGCGUAGAUAUAUGGAGGAACACCAGUGGCGAAGGCGGCUCUCUGGUCUGUAACUGACGCUGAGGCUCGAAAGCGUGGGGAGCAAACAGGAUUAGAUACCCUGGUAGUCCACGCCGUAAACGAUGAGUGCUAAGUGUUGGAGGGUUUCCGCCCUUCAGUGCUGCAGCUAACGCAUUAAGCACUCCGCCUGGGGAGUACGACCGCAAGGUUGAAACUCAAAGGAAUUGACGGGGGCCCGCACAAGCGGUGGAGCAUGUGGUUUAAUUCGAAGCAACGCGAAGAACCUUACCAGGUCUUGACAUCCUUUGACCACUCUAGAGAUAGAGCUUCCCCUUCGGGGGCAAAGUGACAGGUGGUGCAUGGUUGUCGUCAGCUCGUGUCGUGAGAUGUUGGGUUAAGUCCCGCAACGAGCGCAACCCUUAUUGUUAGUUGCCAUCAUUCAGUUGGGCACUCUAGCAAGACUGCCGGUGACAAACCGGAGGAAGGUGGGGAUGACGUCAAAUCAUCAUGCCCCUUAUGACCUGGGCUACACACGUGCUACAAUGGGAAGUACAACGAGUCGCGAAGUCGCGAGGCUAAGCUAAUCUCUUAAAGCUUCUCUCAGUUCGGAUUGUAGGCUGCAACUCGCCUACAUGAAGCCGGAAUCGCUAGUAAUCGCGGAUCAGCACGCCGCGGUGAAUACGUUCCCG